rnacentral:rRNA from 1 species
CCUACGGGAGGCAGCAGUGGGGAAUAUUGCGCAAUGGGCGAAAGCCUGACGCAGCGACGCCGCGUGAGGGAUGAAGGUCUUCGGAUCGUAAACCUCUGUCAGCAGGGAAGAACGGGCCGUGAGCUAAUCAGCAGUGAAUUGACGGCACCUGCAAAGCAAGCACCGGCUAACUCCGUGCCAGCGGCCGCGGUAGUACGUAGGGUGCGAGCGGUAAACGGAAUUACUUUGCGUAAAGCGCCCGUAGGCGGUAUGUCAAGUCAAGGGUGAAAUCCGCGGGCCCAAAGUGGGAACUGCCGUGGAAACUGGCGAACUGGAGUGUGUGAGAGGAUAGUGGAAUGCCGGGUGUAGGGGUGA